rnacentral:rRNA from 1 species
GAUGAACGCUGGCGGCGUGCCUAAUACAUGCAAGUCGAGCGAACGGGCGAUAAUCUUGCGUCUCUGAUGUUAGCGGCGGACGUGUGAGUAACACGUGUAUAACCUACCUAUAAGACUGGGAUAACUUCGGGAAACCGGAUCUAAUACCGUAUGAUAUUUUGAACCGCAGGGUUCAAAAGUGAAAGACGGUCUUGCUGUCACGUAUAGAUGUAUCCGCGCUGCAUUAGCUCGUUGGUAAGGUAACGGCUUACCAAGGCAACGAUGCAUAGCCGAGGUGAGAGGGUGGUCGGCCACCCUGGAAGUGAGCCACGGUCAAGAGACCUACGAUAGGCCCCAGUAGGGAAUAUUACGCAGUGGGGGAAAACCUGACGGAACAGCGCCGCGUGAGUGACGAAGGUCUUGGGAUCGUAAAACUCUGUUACUAGGGAAGAACCUAUGUGGCAGUAACUGUGCACAUCUUGACGGUACCUAAUAAGAAAGCCCCGGCUAACUACGUG